ensembl:lncRNA
CUUCUAGAAGCAUAGCUGCAGGAGCUCCAGCCCAUCGGUGAGCGCUGCAGCUCCCACGCUGUGUCCCCCCACCAGCUGAUGAAAGCGAGCUGGAACGCGGCUACGGCCUUGUCCCCAUGUCCUUCACCAGGGCUUUUGGCUGACACGUGCACCCAUCAGCACGGACUGGAGACGUUGGCUGGAGAUGAAAUUUGAAGCAAGCACAGAGAUGGAUGGUGUACAAGGGCAGUGCUGGGGUCUCAGUGUCACAGCCCGGGCUGAAAGCAAAUGGUAAAAUCAGUGUAAAACCACUCAGAAGCUGGAUUUAGGAAAGACCAAACUAUUCAUAAGCUGAAGCUGAAUUUGGCGACUUGAUAUGUUCGAAAUCCCCGGGGAGAGUUAAUUUACUUUUAAUGUCCAGGCAUUUCGUUUGAAAUGCCAAAAUGAAAUGUGUCAUUUUGGAAAUGCCAGAGCGUUUCUUUUCUGACAUCUCCUCAAUGAAGCUUUUCAACCCCUUUGUUUUGAAACGGCGGCUUUCAGUUGGAAGGAAGAAAGGUUAAACAAGACGGUUAAAUGACUUGACAGUGAAUGAAGACAUUUCAUCUUGAUUUACACGGAGUGUGGAGGGGUGGCACGCUCGUUUCUUCGUGUAGCUGAUCCCCUUUCCCUUCCCUGAAAUCUGUUUCCAAUUGACCUCAGCCAUUUUGAUCCCUACUUUUAGCACAAAUGGGAAAUGUCACCGGAUUAAGAUAAAAUCAUUAUUCCUCCUCUUCCAGUUCCCGGAAGGGCUUAGUUGGGAAAUGGUGAAAACCACUGACGGAAGACCCAAGGGGGAGUACGCACAACAGCCUCUCAGCAUCGGAUGCUCCUACUGGUAGGAGCAGCAUCCCUGGCACGCUUCUCAUAGCGGGGACAUGGGCUGGGAUCUCCCCCGACUCAUCCCUGCCAUCCUCUGGAAAUCCGUGGUGAGGAGGCAGCGUUCUGUCCUGUUACCACUCCCUGCAGAGAGGAGGUGGCGCUUGCAGAAAUACUGAGGGCAUCUUGGAGGUUGCAGCAACCUGUGCACUGAUGGAUGGAGAUCAUAGAACCACAGAAUCAUUCAGGUCAGAGAAGACCUCCAAGAUCCCCAAGCCCAAUCCCAACCUAUCCCACUGUGUCCGUUGACCAAUGUUCCCAAGUGCCACAUCUCCAUGGUUGUUAAGCACCUCCAGGGUCAGCUUUGUGUCACCUCUAGGGGAGCAGACAGAAGUUUGCUGGGUGAUGCUGAACAUCCCUUCCCAUGGGCGUUAUGGGAUGCCAACCUGCU